rnacentral:rRNA from 1 species
CAAUAGCGUAUAUUAAACUUGUUGCGGUUAAAAGCUCGUAGUUGGAUUUCUGCCGAGGACGACCGGUCCGCCCUCUGGGUGAACAUCUGGUUCGGCCUGGGCAUCUUCUUGGAGAACGUUGCUGCACUUCACUGUGUGGAGCGGUAUCCAGGAUUUUUACUUUGAGGAAAUUAGAGUGUUUCAAGCAGGCAUACGCCUUGAAUACAUUAGCAUGGAAUAAUAAGAUAGGACCUCGGUUCUAUUUUGUUGGUUUCUAGAGCUGAGGUAAUGAUUAAUAAGGAUAGUUGGGGGCAUUCGUAUUUAACUGUCAGAAGUGAAAUUCUUGGAUUUGUUAAAGACGGACUACUGCGAAAGCAUUUGCCAAGGAUGUUUUCAUUGAUCAAGAACGAAAGUUAGGGGAUCGAAGAUGAUUAGAUACCAU